UACACUCCUACGGGAGGCAGCAGUGGGGAAUUUUGGACAAUGGGCGAAAGCCUGAUCCAGCAAUGCCGCGUGAGUGAAGAAGGCCUUCGGGUUGUAAAGCUCUUUUGUCAGGGAAGAAACGGUGAAAGCUAAUAUCUUUUGCUAAUGACGGUACCUGAAGAAUAAGCACCGGCUAACUACGUGCAAGCAGCCGCGGUAAUACGUAGGGUGCAAGCGUUAAUCGGAAUUACUGGGCGUAAAGCGUGCGCAGGCGGUUUUGUAAGUCUGAUGUGAAAUCCCCGGGCUCAACCUGGGAAUUGCAUUGGAGACUGCAAGGCUAGAAUCUGGCAGAGGGGGGUAGAAUUCCACGUGUAGCAGUGAAAUGCGUAGAUAUGUGGAGGAACACCGAUGGCGAAGGCAGCCCCCUGGGUCAAGAUUGACGCUCAUGCACGAAAGCGUGGGGAGCAAACAGGAUUAGAUACCCCGGUAGUCCCA
rnacentral:rRNA from 1 species